rnacentral:rRNA from 1 species
UGAACGCUGGCGGCGUGCCUAAUACAUGCACGUCGAGCGAACAGACGAGGAGCUUGCUCCUCUGACGUUAGCGGCGGACGGGUGAGUAACACGUGGAUAACCUACCUAUAAGACUGGGAUAACUUCGGGAAACCGGAGCUAAUACCGGAUAAUAUAUUGAACCGCAUGGUUCAAUAGUGAAAGACGGUUUUGCUGUCACUUAUAGAUGGAUCCGCGCCGCAUUAGCUAGUUGGUAAGGUAACGGCUUACCAAGGCAACGAUGCGUAGCCGACCUGAGAGGGUGAUCGGCCACACUGGAACUGAGACACGGUCCAGACUCCUACGGGAGGCAGCAGUAGGGAAUCUUCCGCAAUGGGCGAAAGCCUGACGGAGCAACGCCGCGUGAGUGAUGAAGGUCUUCGGAUCGUAAAACUCUGUUAUUAGGGAAGAACGAAUGUGUAAGUAACUAUGCACGUCUUGACGGUACCUAAUCAGAAAGCCACGGCUAACUACGUG